UUCCAGCGCCAGGGCCUUCAGCAGACGCAGCAGCAGCAACAAACAGCUGCUCUGGUUCGACAGCUUCAACAGCAACUUUCCAAUACACAGACACAACAGAACAACAACCCGUUUGGACGCUACUGAUCUGUGGCACUUCAGCCUGGUCCAGGAGGGAGACAUCACUGUGGACUGAAUACAGCCUCUUCAGCCUGACCCACAAACUGGGGCUGCCCCCAGCCUCUGUCCUUGGGCCCGUGGCCUCAGUGUUGCUGCUGCCCAUCUCGCAGGGAGAUGCCAGGAGGAUGGUUUUAUUGUACAGAGAAAGUGUUUUUACUAUCUGAUUUCUACAAAUGUUUAUGGAGAUCCUUUGUGGCUGAUAGUCUCCCUUCCCACUUUGGUUUCAGUUUUUACUCAGUUUUUAGUAUUUUUGUUAAAAUAAUGAUUAAGACAUUGUAAAAUUUUGUACUUUAUUUAUACCAGAUGAACCCUGUACUGCAGACAUUCUCGGAUGAAUACAGAGAGCUUACUUUGCAAAA